UAAGAUUUUGGUCCCAAUGAA
rnacentral:piRNA from 1 species